GGGUGCUUGAGGCUGUCUGUCUCAAGCAUUUUGCAAAAGACAGAUAGUAGAAAGCCCCGAAUGAACUAUAAAUUCAAACGAGGCUCACUAGAUGUACAUAGACAAUACAGAUAGUAGUCUCUUUCUUGAAAGGAGGCAAUACAAUGCCUAAAAAG
rfam:Photobacterium damselae subsp. damselae CIP 102761 Contig55, whole genome shotgun sequence.